rnacentral:rRNA from 1 species
UAACACGUAAGCAACCUGCCUUUAAGACGUGGAUAACAAUUGGAAACAGUUGCUAAGACUGGAUAGGAAAUUAAGAGGCAUCUUUUAAUUUUUAAAAGACCUUUUUCGAAAGGUAUGCUUAAAGAGGGGCUUGCGCCACAUUAGUUAGUUGGUAAGGUAAAGGCUUACCAAGACGAUGAUGUGUAGCUGGACUGAGAGGUUGAACAGCCACAUUGGGACUGAGACACGGCCCAAACUCCUACGGGAGGCAGCAGUAAGGAAUUUUUGGCAAUGGAGGAAACUCUGACCGAGCGACGCCGCGUGAACAAUGAAGUACUUCGGUAUGUAAAGUUCUUUUAUUGAAAAAGAAAAAAUAGUGGAAAAACUAUCUUGACAUUAUUCAAUGAAUAAGCCCCGGCUAAUUAUGUGCCAGCAGCCGCGGUAAUACAUAAGGGGCGAGCGUUAUCCGGAAUUAUUGGGCGUAAAGGGUGCGUAGGCGGUUUGAUAAGUCUAUAGUUUAAAUGCAGCGCUUAACGCUGUAGCGCUAUAGAAACUGUCUGACUAGAGUUAGAUAGAGGCAAGCGGAAUUCCAUGUGUAGCGGUAAAAUGCGUAAAUAUAUGGAGGAACACCAGAGGCGUAGGCGGCUUGCUGGGUCUUAACUGACGCUGAGCACGAAAGCGUGGGGAGCAAACAGGAUUAGAUACCCUGGUAGUCCACGCCGUAAACGAUGAGUACUAAGUGUCGGGUUUCGGCUCGGUACUGAAGUUAACACAUUAAGUACUCCGCCUGAGUAGUACGUACGCAAGUAUGAAACUUAAAGGAAUUGACGGGACCCCGCACAAGCGGUGGAUCAUGUUGUUUAAUUCGAAGAUACACGAAAAACCUUACCAGGUCUUGACAUAAUUUUGCGACAUUAUAGAAAUAUAAUGAAGGUUAUCAGAAUUACAGGUGGUGCAUGGUUGUCGUCAGCUCGUGUCGUGAGAUGUUAGGUUAAGUCCUAAAACGAGCGCAACCCUUGUCGUUAGUUGCGACCACGUAAUGGUGAGCACUUUAGCGAGACUGCCAAUGAAAAAUUGGAGGAAGGUGAGGAUUACGUCAAAUCAUCAUGCCCCUUAUGAUCUGGGCUACAAACGUGAUACAAUGGCUGUUACAAAGAGUAGCUACAACGUGAGUUUUUAGCCAAUCUCAAAAAAACAGUCUCAGUUCGGAUUGAAGUCUGCAACUCGACUUCAUGAAGUUGGAAUCGCUAGUAAUCGCGAAUCAGCAUGUCGCGGUGAAUA